UACGUGAGGGUGCAAGCGUUAAUCGGAAUUACUGGGCGUAAAGCGUGCGCAGGCGGCUUUGCAAGACAGAGUGUGAAAUCCCCGGGCUUAACCUGGGAACUGCAUUUGUGACUGCAUGGGCUGGAGUGCGGCAGAGGGGGAUGGAAUUCCGCGUGUAGCAGUGAAAUGCGUAGAUAUGCGGAGGAACACCGAUGGCGAAGGCAAUCCCCUGGGCCUGCACUGACGCUCAUGCACGAAAGCGUGGGGAGCAAACAGG
rnacentral:rRNA from 1 species